rnacentral:rRNA from 1 species
UGCGCCCUACGGGGGGCAGCAGUGGGGAAUAUUGCACAAUGGGGGAAACCCUGAUGCAGCGACGCCGCGUGAGUGAAGAAGUAUUUCGGUAUGUAAAGCUCUAUCAGCAGGGAAGAAAAAAGACGGUACCUGACUAAGAAGCCCCGGCUAACUACGUGCCAGCAGCCGCGGUAAUACGUAGGGGGCAAGCGUUAUCCGGAUUUACUGGGUGUAAAGGGAGCGUAGACGGCGCGGCAAGUCUGAAGUGAAAACCCAAGGCUCAACCAUGGGACUGCUUUUGAAACUGUCAAACUAGAGUACGGGAG